rnacentral:rRNA from 1 species
GACGAACGCUGGCGGCGUGCUUAACACAUGCAAGUCGAACGGAAAGGCCCUGCUUUUGUGGGGUGCUCGAGUGGCGAACGGGUGAGUAACACGUGAGUAACCUGCCCUUGACUUUGGGAUAACUUCAGGAAACUGGGGCUAAUACCGAUAAGGGCUCCCGCUGGCUGGGGGGGGGUGGGAAAGUUCGGCGGUUGGGGAUGGACUCGCGGCUUAUCAGCUUGUUGGUGGGGUAGUGGCUUACCAAGGCUUUGACGGGUAGCCGGCCUGAGAGGGUGACCGGCCACAUUGGGACUGAGAUACGGCCCAGACUCCUACGGGAGGCAGCAGUGGGGAAUAUUGCACAAUGGGCGGAAGCCUGAUGCAGCAACGCCGCGUGCGGGAUGACGGCCUUCGGGUUGUAAACCGCUUUCGCCUGUGACGAAGCGUGAGUGACGGUAAUGGGUAAAGAAGCACCGGCUAACUACGUG